rnacentral:rRNA from 1 species
UAGCAUAUCAAUAAGCGGAGGAAAAGAAACCAACAGGGAUUGCCUCAGUAACGUCGAGUGAAGCGGCAACAGCUCAAAUUUGAAAUCUGGCCCUAGGCCCGAGUUGUAAUUUGCAGAGGAUGCUUUUGGUGCGGUGCCUUCCAAGUUCCCUAGAACGGGACGCCAGAGAGGGUGAGAGCCCCGUACAGUUGGACACCAAGCCUUUGUAAAGCUCCUUCGACGAGUCGAGUAGUUUGGGAAUGCUGCUCAAAAUGGGAGGUAUAUUUCUUCUAAAGCUAAAUACCGGCCAGAGACCGAUAGCGCACAAGUAGAGUGAUCGAAAGAUGAAAAGCACUUUGAAAAGAGGGUUAAACAGCACGUGAAAUUGUUAAAAGGGAAGCGCUUGUGACCAGACUUGCGUCCGAUGAAUCACCCAGCUCUCGCGGCUGGGGCACUUCGCCGGCUCAGGCCAGCAUCAGCUCGCUGUCGGCGACAAAAGCUUCAGGAACGUAGCUCUCUUCGGGGAGUGUUAUAGCCUGUUGCAUAAUACCCUUCGGCGGGCUGAGGUACGCGCUCCGCAAGGAUGCUGGCAUAAUGGUCAUCAGCGACCCGUCUUGAAACACGGACCAAGGAGUCAACCUUAUGUGCGAGUGUUCGGGUGUCAAACCCCUACGCGUAAUGAAAGUGAACGCAGGUGAGAGCUUCGGCGCAUCAUCGACCGAUCCUGAUGUUCUCGGAUGGAUUUGAGUAAGAGCAUAUAGGGUUGGACCCGAAAGAAGGUGAACUAUGCGUGUAUAGGGUGAAGCCAGAGGAAACUCUGGUGGAGGCUCGCAGCGGUUCUGACGUGCAAAUCGAUCGUCAAAUAUGCGCAUGGGGGCGAAAGACUAAUCGAACCUUCUAGUAGCUGGUUUCCGCCGA